rnacentral:lncRNA from 13 species
AUGAUUGUCAUCUUGUACAGUCCUUGGCAAUGGCAGGAAACCCCUGGCCACACAUGGUGUGGACUCCUUCAGAGGCCGUUGAACUCCUCCUCAGUGCGGCGUUGGCAUAAAAGGCCGGCUUGUGUCAUGAGGAAUGAUCCUCAUCUUGUGAGACUCUUGGAGAUGGCAAGAAGUCCCUGGCCACAUGUGGUGUGGAAUCCUUCAGGGGCUGUUCAAACCCUCCUGAAUUGUUGUUGCUGUGAAAGGCAGGCUCAUGUCAUGAGGAAUGAUUGUCAUCUCAUGUUGUCCUUGGAGAUGGCAGGAAGCUCCUGGUCCACAUGGCGUGGAAUCCUUCAGAGGCUGUUGAAACCCUCCUGA